GGCCUCAUAGUUCAAGGGAUAGAACGGAAGUUUCCUAAACUUUAAAUACAGGUUCGAGUCCUGUUGGGGCUA
rnacentral:tRNA from 2 species